GAUGAACGCUGGCGGCGUGCCUAAUACAUGCAAGUCGAGCGAACAGACGAGGAGCUUGCUCCUCUGACGUUAGCGGCGGACGGGUGAGUAACACGUGGAUAACCUACCUAUAAGACUGGGAUAACUUCGGGAAACCGGAGCUAAUACCGGAUAAUAUAUUGAACCGCAUGGUUCAAUAGUGAAAGACGGUUUUGCUGUCACUUAUAGAUGGAUCCGCGCCGCAUUAGCUAGUUGGUAAGGUAACGGCUUACCAAGGCAACGAUGCGUAGCCGACCUGAGAGGGUGAUCGGCCACACUGGAACUGAGACACGGUCCAGACUCCUACGGGAGGCAGCAGUAGGGAAUCUUCCGCAAUGGGCGAAAGCCUGACGGAGCAACGCCGCGUGAGUGAUGAAGGUCUUCGGAUUGUAAAACUCUGUUAUUAGGGAAGAAAAAAUGUGUAAGUAACUAUGCACGUCUUGACGGUACCUAAUCAGAAAGCCACGGCUAACUACGUG
rnacentral:rRNA from 1 species